rnacentral:rRNA from 1 species
AUUGAACGCUGGCGGCAUGCUUUACACAUGCAAGUCGAACGGUAACAGGUUAAGCUGACGAGUGGCGAACGGAUGAGUAAUGCAUCGGAACGUGCCCGAUCGUGGGGGGUAACACUUCGAAAGAAGUGCUAAUACCGCAUACGAUCUGAGGAUGAAAGCGGGGGACCAUAAGGCCUCGCGCGAUCGGAGCGGCCGAUGUCAGAUUAGGUAGUUGGUGGGGUAAAGGCUCACCAAGCCGACGAUCUGUAGCUGGUCUGAGAGGACGACCAGCCACACUGGGACUGAGACACGGCCCAGACGCCUACGGGAGGCAGCAGUGGGGAAUUUUGGACAAUGGGCGCAAGCCUGAUCCAGCAAUGCCGCGUGCAGGAAGAAGGCCUUCGGGUUGUAAACUGCUUUUGUACGGAGCGAAAAGGCUCCCUCUAAUACAGGGGGCUUAUGACGGUACCGUAAGAAUAAGCACCGGCUAACUACGUGCCAGCAGCCGCGGUAAUAC